GUGAUGUUGAGACACAAGCUGAGUUCAUGCUGCAGGAAGUUCUGCUGGAUUUCCAGCUGGGAUAUGUUAAUGAUCACAUUAGGACAGUUUUGCAGAAUAUAGUGGACUUACUGAAUCCAAGACAAUUCAAUUCACCCAGUGCUGUCCUGAUUCUUAUUAAAGCUAUGCUUCAGUUGACUGACUUAAGUACAGUGGAAUGGAUAUGCACUGUAGAAAGUGCUGUCAGGCAGGAGAAGAUGAAUGUUUGUCUCUCAGCCCAGAAAUUAAUUCUUGACCAGCUUGUUUUACUGGGGGAAACUGCAAGGCAUCAGUCUUAUGGGGAUGUUUAUUCCUGUCUGGCAGUCCCGUUGAAAAAUGUUUAUCUUCCACAU